GGAGGAAUUUGGCUAUCAUAAAGUUAAACCACACUACCUAUGAUGUGUGCGAUGGGAAAAGAAUGGAUAUAAGAUGAAAGUCAGAGAAGGUGGAGAAGGAAAAGAAGAUACAAGAGAAUGAUCAAGGCUGUGAAUUCUCUCCACACUGAUAGAUAAGGAUAACUAGACACUGAGAACAGAGACCAAAUUUCUGCGGUCCCAUCAGCUCCCAAUGUCAACAGGUAAGGGAUACCUGGACCCAAGCUCCCAGCCCAAGCUUCUGCAGUCAUCUUCUAACUCCUGAUGCUGACAGAUACCCAGAGAAGUGACUACAGCAGGCUCAGGUCUGUGAUUUACCUGUCUCUGUGCAAGUCAAUGACAAGAAAGUAAAUAAAUGGUGCAA